rnacentral:rRNA from 1 species
AGCAAUCUGCCUUGGAGUGGGAAUAACGGUUGGAAACAGCCGCUAAUACCGCAUGAUGCGUCUGGGAGGCAUCUCUCUGGACGCCAAAGAUUUAUCGCUCUGAGAUGAGCUCGCGUCUGAUUAGCUGUUGGCGGGGUAAAGGCCCACCAAGGCGACGAUCAGUAGCCGGACUGAGAGGUUGGCCGGCCACAUUGGGACUGAGACACGGCCCAGACUCCUACGGAAGGCAGCAG